AUGAGAGUUCGGUCCGGCCGAGGCCGUGGGUGAACUUGGCGACGUUGGGGUUGUGGACGAGGAUGUCGAGGAGGAGGGUGACGUUGAGUUGGAGGUUGACGAGGGGAAAGGUGAGGCGGGGGGAGAUGCCGGUGACGCGGGCGGAGACGAGGUGGGUGGUGGGGUCUUUGGCGCGGAAGAGGGUGAAGGCGAGGAUGAGGGCGGUGAUGAAGAGGGCGAGGAGGAAGAUGAGGCAG
rnacentral:misc_RNA from 1 species